CUCCCAGGGUGCAAAGCCAUGACAGAUGGUCACACUACUGAAAGGGGAAUACCUACAACCACAACCAAAGGGAGAAGUCCACAGAAGUCCACAACCAAAGGGAGAAGUAUGACACCUUGGAAACGUAAACAGCAUCCCCUAAUCAAGGGCUGCAAAGUCAAACGUCUACAGGGACAAGGAAGCCCUGCCUGGAGAAGGUCAUCGGGUGACACAGAUGCUGCAUGACUAUAGAAAACAAUGAUUCUAAGACAACACGCCAGGCUUUCCUCCCCUCCAUUCUGACAUAUCUCAGAUGAACAAGUAAGGACAUCAUCACGUGCUACACCUCAAUGUCAAUGGCACUUUUUCAAGAGGUCAGUGUGUCCCCUCCAUACUGAUGCCUGGGACACUGAAGUUGGGAGCUGAUGGUCUUAACCCUCUCUGCAAAACUACAACGGUCUCUUGGCUCCAGCCAGCCGCACAAACUAACAGGACCUUGCCUCUCCAUGGGAGUUUCUGGGCAUGCUCAAGUUCAUGAGACGCCUAACGGAAGGGGAACUCAAAUCGCCCAUGGAUCCAGACUUCCUUUUCUCUUAAUCCAGUGACAUAUUAGAAACUGUCAACUAACCUACCAGAAACACAGGAAUCACAUGAAAACCAAUACACCCUGACGGCCCUGUUUACUUGACAGGAGUUGGCCAGCUCCAACAGAGGAUCUAAUUAUGAAUAUCUAUCUUUGGAGAAGAGGAAAGGAGGAGGAAGAUAGCCUUGUGACCAGAAAUCUUUGCUUUUUAAAACCACCAAUGACCUGGUCUAAUUAUCUCUGCAAAAAACUCAUCUGUGAUGACAUGGGGUGAAACCACAGUGCAAUUUUCAAGAAACAUUUUAUGCAAAUAUAUCUGCUCCAACUGCAUAUAAA
rnacentral:lncRNA from 1 species